CCUACGGAUGGCUGCAGUGGGGAAUAUUGGACAAUGGGGGGAACCCUGAUCCAGCCAUGCCGCGUGUGUGAAGAAGGCCCUCGGGUUGUAAAGCACUUUCAGUGAGGAAGAACGCCUUGAGGUUAAUACCCAUCAGGAAAGACAUCACUCACAGAAGAAGCACCGGCUAACUCCGUGCCAGCAGCCGCGGUAAUACGGAGGGUGCGAGCGUUAAUCGGAAUUACUGGGCGUAAAGCGCGCGCAGGUGGCUUGAUAAGCCGGUUGUGAAAGCCCCGGGCUCAACCUGGGAACGGCAUACGGAACUGUCAAGCUAGAGUGCAGGAGAGGAAGGUAGAAUUCCAGGUGUAGCGGUGAAAUGCGUAGAGAUCGGGAGGAAUACCGGUGGCGAAGGCGGCCUUCUGGACUGACACUGACACUCAGGUGCGAAAGCGUGGGUAGCAAACAGGAUUAGAUACCCGAGUAGUC
rnacentral:rRNA from 1 species